rnacentral:rRNA from 1 species
UACAGAGGGUGCGAGCGUUAAUCGGAAUUACUGGGCGUAAAGCGUGCGUAGACGGUAGCGUAAGUCAGAUGUGAAAGCCCCGGGCUCAACCUGGGAAUUGCAUUUGAGACUGCUCUGCUCGGGUGCGGAAGAGGGAAGCGGAAUUUCCGGUGUAGCGGUGAAAUUCGUAGAUAUUGGGAAGAACACCGGUGGCGAAGGCGGCGACCUGGUCCUUGACUGACGCUGAGGCGCGAAAGCGUGGGGAGCAAACAGG